AUUGAACGCUGGCGGCAGGCCUAACACAUGCAAGUCGAGCGGAUGAAGGGAGCUUGCUCCUGGAUUCAGCGGCGGACGGGUGAGUAAUGCCUAGGAAUCUGCCUGGUAGUGGGGGAUAACGUCCGGAAACGGGCGCUAAUACCGCAUACGUCCUGAGGGAGAAAGUGGGGGAUCUUCGGACCUCACGCUAUCAGAUGAGCCUAGGUCGGAUUAGCUAGUUGGUGGGGUAAAGGCCUACCAAGGCGACGAUCCGUAACUGGUCUGAGAGGAUGAUCAGUCACACUGGAACUGAGACACGGUCCAGACUCCUACGGGAGGCAGCAGUGGGGAAUAUUGGACAAUGGGCGAAAGCCUGAUCCAGCCAUGCCGCGUGUGUGAAGAAGGUCUUCGGAUUGUAAAGCACUUUUAGUUGGGAGGAAGGGCAGUAAGUUAAUACCUUGCUGUUUUGACGUUACCCACAGAAUAAGCACCGGCUAACUUCGUG
rnacentral:rRNA from 1 species